UACGUAGGUGGCAAGCGUUGUCCGGAAUUAUUGGGCGUAAAGCGCGCGCAGGCGGCCUUUUAAGUCUGAUGUGAAAGCCCACGGCUCAACCGUGGAAGGUCAUUGGAAACUGAAAGGCUUGAGUACAGAAGAGGAAAGCGGAAUUCCACGUGUAGCGGUGAAAUGCGUAGAGAUGUGGAGGAACACCAGUGGCGAAGGCGGCUCACUGGACCACAACUGACGCUGAGGCGCGAAAGCUAGGGGAGCAAACAGG
rnacentral:rRNA from 1 species